AGUCGAGGGGUAUAGUUCUUCGGAGCUAGAGACCGGCGCACGGGUGCGUAACGCGUAUGCAAUCUGCCUUUCACAGAGGGAUAGCCCAGAGAAAUUUGGAUUAAUACCUCAUAGUAUUAUGGAAGGGCAUCCUUUUAUAAUUAAAGUCACAACGGUGAAAGAUGAGCAUGCGUCCCAUUAGCUAGUUGGUAAGGUAACGGCUUACCAAGGCAACGAUGGGUAGGGGUCCUGAGAGGGAGAUCCCCCACACUGGUACUGAGACACGGACCAGACUCCUACGGGAGGCAGCAGUGAGGAAUAUUGGUCAAUGGGCGCAAGCCUGAACCAGCCAUGCCGCGUGCAGGAUGACGGUCCUAUGGAUUGUAAACUGCUUUUGUACGAGAAGAAACACUGAUUCGUGAAUCAGCUUGACGGUAUCGUAAGAAUAAGGAUCGGCUAACUCCGUGCCAGCAGCCGCGGUAAUACGGAGGAUCCAAGCGUUAUCCGGAAUCAUUGGGUUUAAAGGGUCCGUAGGCGGUUUAGUAAGUCAGUGGUGAAAGCCCAUCGCUCAACGGUGGAACGGCCAUUGAUACUGCUGAACUUGAAUUAUUAGGAAGUAACUAGAAUAUGUAGUGUAGCGGUGAAAUGCUUAGAUAUUACAUGGAAUACCAAUUGCGAAGGCAGGUUACUACUAAUGGAUUGACGCUGAUGGACGAAAGCGUGGGGAGCGAACAGGAUUAGAUACCCUGGUAGUCCACGCCGUAAACGAUGGAUACUAGCUGUUGGAAG
rnacentral:rRNA from 1 species